CACGUAGGCACCAAGCGUUGUCCGGAUUUAUUGGGCGUAAAGAGCUCGUAGGCGGUUCAGUAAGUCGGGUGUGAAAACUUUGGGCUUAACCCAAAGCGUGCAUCCGAUACUGCUGUGACUUGAGUUCGGUAGGGGAGUGGGGAAUUCCUAGUGUAGCGGUGAAAUGCGCAGAUAUUAGGAGGAACACCGGUGGCGAAGGCGCCACUCUGGGCCGAAACUGACGCUGAGGAGCGAAAGCAUGGUAGCAAAC
rnacentral:rRNA from 1 species